ensembl:lncRNA
CUUUAAUUUACAAUAAGCACAGUAAGGGCAGAAAGGAAGCCACUGGUGUGCUGUCUCAUGUCACUAAGCAAAGUAGUAGAAAGAAACACAUUUCUAUUCUGUCCUUGUCACUAAUGUAAUCCCAGCCUUAAGAAGUUAGUAUCGAGGGUCUGAUUCAUAUCCCACUGAUUUGGCCAGAAUCUGGGAAUUUACUGAACUUUUGAUUAAGCUGCCUGUCUCGUAUUGCCUUGUAGCUCUAUAUGUAUUUAUAUAAUCCCAGGACUUCCUUCUCAACUGUCUGCGCCUUAUGCACUCAUUUGUGUGUGCUGUGAGCUGGGACAAUGCAGCCGAUAAGUUUUGUGAAUUAAUGGAGCCUUCGGUGUACUAGAAGAGAUCUGAUGGACUUAACAAGUAAGCAAAUUGUUCAAGUGGAUCAGAUUUGCCCCUACUUAGGAUUGCUAUCAGCCAAUGUGGAUGACAGUCUCUGCCUGAGAAAUACAUCGAGGCGAAUGGUCACCACUGAGGAGGCAAAGAACAUUGUGCCCAGCAUGGUGAAUCACCACAAAGAGGUUCCUCCGAGCAGCCAUGGGGUGGUGGCACAUACUGCUCUGGUGUCCAGGAUGAUUUGAUGGAGAAUGUCUGCAAACAGGGCCUGAAAGGAGAGAAGUAUUCAAACAAGAACUGAAACAUCAGGCAACAAAAAUCAGACGUAUCUGCUUUAAUGGAAGAAUUUUAUGAUAGCUCAUUCUUCGGCUGCAAAGGUUGGGUCGUGCCUUUGUACAUAGUUUCCUGCAGCAAGAGGAGAAUCACAGCGUGGAUUGCAUUUCUUCUCUUCGGCAAGGGAAGGGGUCUGCAGCUCAUCUGCAUCAGUUCAUCUAUAACACUGAGCCAGGUGACGGGGCUGGGACUUAUCCCUGCACACAGGACCUGGUUGAUCCAUCCACAAGCAUAUCAGGAGUGGGGGACUUGUUUCUGGCUGUAGAACGUUACCACAGAAGAUAAAGAUCAAAUCCAGAUCCAAGAGGUGAUAAGGCUCAGAAAAUACCGAACCUCUGAGCUGAUGGGCGGGAGGCAGCGCUUGGAGAGAAAUGACUGGCUAUGAUCAGAAGCAUGGUCAGUACUGCUGAAGUGAUAAGGCUUUAACCAGAAGUAUUUCCAUCUUGUGGCAGUCCUUUGCAAUGGGUGCCACUGCUCCAAGAACUCUUCUGUGCGUGGUGUAAAAAGCGGGGAAACCAAGAAUGGACCCUGGCUUGAAAGGUGUUGGAGGUAGUCACUGGAACAGCAUCGCCCGAAAUUUGUGUCCACUUGAAAUGCUCCAUGUUUGUAAUCGCCGAGCAAGAAUGAGCAGGUCUUGGCUGUUGUCAUCUCCUUCAUGGUAAUUGAAGCACGCUGAGUGAUAAGCAUACCUGAAAGAAAAGAGGGGGUUCAAAGAGAGCUGGAAGAUGGAGGCAAACAGAAAGAAAUGGAAGUGUCAAGUUUUUAAACAGAAAACAAAGAAGCCUAUAACCUAAAAACCCACAAGCCUAAAGUUUGCCAUUCAGCCACCAGACCGAAGGGAACACGUCCAUACAGCUCCAGCUCGUGCAGCAUACAGUCCUAUUGUUCUUGGUUGACUUCUGCAAAGCUUCCCGUGCUUGGAGUCAGCCUUGUAGUUUCACUGAGCCCACGCCUACACAAACCAGAGCAAGUUUAACAGGGAGAUGGGCACGGCUCCUCUCCCAGCUCUGGCUUCCAGGCUCAAGACUCUUUUUCUUCUCCAGGUUAGCCCAACCGAGCUCUUUCCAGUGCAUCAGGCUUACAGAGAAAGGGUGGGUGCUGAAAGGGGAAUGAUUUUCUUUGCAGCGUUUUGACACUAUGACAAACUCAGGGGAGUAAGUAAGGUGGGCAGCAAAGGAAAGGAAUGGUACAUGUCUGGGGGAACCUGGAACAUACUACUGGGUGAAAUUUUUUGGUUCUUUCAGGCAAAAAUGUGAACGCAAGGUCUUCUAAAUAAAGCCCAGGUCACUGCAGUUAGUUACCAGGAGCUUGGCCAUCUUCUUUUAUCUCAGAACGGCUCUUUCUAAUAAUGCAAACUGAUAUAAGUGAGUUGGAAUAAUUUUGCCUGAAUAACUGUUAAGGGAACAACAAAGAUGCACAUUUAAGUACAUGCCUCUAAAUAACAUAAUCAGCUUUGAAGUUCCAAAGAGUGCACAUUUAAAAAAACAGAGUGCAACCAGCUGGGAGAGAAGGAAACGCAAUCCAAAGGAUGUUUGCUACACCAAUGUAUUUUACGUCAAACUAAGUUUUAUUAACUUCUCAAUGUCAUGUGAUGUGUAUCUGCAGCUCACUCAUACUGCCUUAAUUUGUUGCCGUGUGUGACAAGCUGUAGGCUGAUCUAGCCUGACACGUCAUGGUAUGCAGAGUACACAUAUAUCAUGAUAAGGCAGUUGAAAACCAAAGACAAACAGCCCCAAAGAGAGAACUGAACAGCAUGGUUCCGCUGGGGCCUGUGUCCAUCAGAGAGAGUAUUUGAUACGUCACACCUUCCACUUUCAAGUAAAUAAAUGUGGAUUUUGUGCUAUAGCUGCGAGUGAACAAGAUAUUUCAGUCCAGUGUUCCCACAGAUGGCUUUGUUUCUUUUUUUACCUUUGUAUUAGUUGAUGUUCUUUGUAAUGGCAUCUUUUUUGUCAAAAUGGAAAAAAUAGGGUGUCUGCUGGAGAAAAAGUUGGACUUUGAUGCUGCUGUGCUACUAUGAUGCUCCAUGAGUGAGGAUCUUCUGGUCCCUGUAGUCAGUAAAGCACCCCUGGACAGCACCAGGAUGAUGCAGUGAAGGAAAUAUUUCGGUGGCAGCUUUAGGAAAACACUUGGCUUUCUGUUGACUAUCUUCCCCCAGGAGCACUGCCAUAAAGAUUGCAUUUGUGUUGAGGCCACAGAACGUGUAGCUGGGUGCAGGCUGGGGACCUCACCAUUUUGAGGUAUUAAAACAGCAGUGGAGCAGCAGAUGCUAUACCUUGCAUAUUGCUAAAGAUGCUACCUACGCAGUUCCUAAAAACACGAGCCCUUCUAAUGGGAAGAAGCAGAAAAACUCCCAUUGACUUCAGUUGGGUAUAGAUUUCAGGUGGCAAACAGAGUGGUGGUACUUUCUGGUUUACAGUAGCUUUGACUUCUCUUUUGUACUUUAUAAAACAGUUACAUUCCGUAUAUAAAAGUGUCUGCUUUGCAUUAAAAGCAAGUUUUCUUUUUAAGCAAGUUGAAUAAACCUCCUUUAAAUAGAUGAGACUGUUGGUACCGGGAGCUGUGACUUAGUGUAUAUUCUUUCAACAUUUUCAAAUGCUCAUUACAAUUCCUACUUAUUUUAUAGCAAUAUCACACAAUAAACAUUUCUUUUCUGAUUAAGGGAUUGAAAGAGAACUGAAUUAUAAACAGUAUUAAUAUAAAAGGGAAUUUCUAUCCGGUGCUCUGUAGGCCUGAGUUUAUUUGACCUUAAACAAUCAGUCAGAAGAAGUCACAUCAGCUGCUGUACACAUUCCACAUUACGGAGGAAUUAAAUUAAGCAGCUUUAAUAUCUGUGAAAUGGCACAGGACUGAAAGAGAAUCGUUCCAAUUUAUGGAAUUUGUAUCUGAUUUACUAGUGCAUGUCUAGCAAUUCCAGAGCCACCAAUUGCUUUAAGACCACCUCCAAAGUGUUUUUAUCACUUACAGUAAAUGUGCUAACAUCGUGUUUUAAUUAAACAUUUAAAGUGCAUCAAACAAAUUUAUUGAUGCUGCCAGAAGAGGCAAAAAGGAAGGCAAAAAAAAAAAAAGAAGAAUUUCUGCUAUUUGCAAAAUGCCCUGGUGUACGCAUGAUGGUGUGACCCUGCUAAGACUGCCCUCAAACAUUCCAGCUAAUGUCUAUAAAUUAGCAACUGCUUCCCCUCCCCUCCAGUCCCUCGUUUUCCAUCCCCAACCCCCCAAAUCAUACUUUGUGCAUAAAAACAUGGCAAGAGCUUGUUGAAAGCCAUUCAGCUAUAAUAUCAAAUGGUUGUGAACACUGCAUUUAUUUUUGCUCCUUGAACGCAGGCCUGAUAUUGAAAUGAUAUAAAAGUCCCAGCAGCGCUUUAUAUUGAUGUUGGCAUUAAAAAUGCUUUUUCUGUUAGUGAGAGAGAAGUUUCCCCCUUAAAAAAAAUAAAAGCCAAUACCGGGCCUAUCAAAACUUUAUCAUCCUGUUACCACUUGGGCACAGUAUUAAAUAUUCAGAACUGGAGCUGGUUUUCAUUAGAAAUCCUUUUCCCUUCUGCACUGGGGAUCGCAGACCCGCGAUGGGUCCAGAAUUCCUACAAUCCUUUAAAAAAGAGGAAAGUAGGCAUGGCAUUGCCAUCACCUGCAAAGACAUGCUUGGAUUUCAGCCCCAAGCUCGCGGGACUGAUGCGGGGUGGCAGGGGCAGAGGUUGGCCUGGGAGCACCGCCGGCCUCACCACCUCCUCCAGUCCUGCUCAUUGCUGCAGGAUGGGGGACCUCAGGGAACGUGGCCCAGCGGUUCAGUGUGGAGAGGCAAUCUGCAGAGGGCUACGUGAUGAUUUAUGCUUUAUGGCACCAAAACUACGGGCAUGUUUUUUGUGUGCAUAAUAUAGCUUGGGUUUCCUUAGGAGGGGAAGAGUAUUUUGUCUUCCUGAGUAACCAUUUGUUUUAGAGACUGAUGAUGGUGGCAGGUUUGCCUUCUUACAUAUCCAUUCUCACAUAUAUCUGUUGUUGUAUUUAGCUGUUCUCUCAUAUGCAGUGGGUCAUAAUAUGAACAGAAAGCAUAUUUCUGUACCAAACAGACGUACGCAUGCUGGUGCCUAGAGAUAGGUGUCUAAGCAGUUCUUGUUGAGGUCAGUUGCCUGCUAACAAGCUGAUAUACAAAUGUAAAGUGCAUUUCAUUUUUAUUAUGUUAUAUUACAUAUCAUCUUCGAUUGAAUUUGCUCUGUUUGUUCAAACCCAAUAACUGUAAACAUCACGUGGCUGGAGGGGAAACAAGCAAGGAACCCGAUAGCUGCUGGAUCUGCCAGGAAACUGGCAAGGCAGAACUCAGAAUGCUGUGGCACAGCUGAGAAUGGCUAUUGCUGGGAGACUGUGACUUUUAUUCAGAGAAAAAAAUAAAUAAGGGUGAGUAAUGUUAUCUCUAGGGAUCACAAUCCUUAUUUUUGCACGCCAUUCGGUCACAGACUGUGUGAAAGAUAGCGUGGUGUCCAACACAGCAGGACAAGUGUCUUAAUGGUGGUUAUUCACUGAUAUCCUUUGUGAUCUCCUGUCCUGCACUGACUCAUCCCAGCUUGCAGGAGACAAUCCCAACGCAGGGUGUUUCAUGGUUACCUCGUGGUCCACGUCUAUUUUUGUAUCUGUUGUCUCCUGCUUUAUACUUAGCUCUUCAGGCAUUCUAGAAUUUGGUAUAAUGGAGCCCAAUCAAUGAUGUGAGCUACUGAGCAAGUAACACAGCGUGAAUACGGGGAAAUAAUUGUGUCUUUCAGCAGGAAGGUGGAGCCAUUUUUCUAGAGAAAAGAAAUAAAGGCCUCAGAAGAAGGAUGCAGCAUUUCUCCUCACAUCGCUUUAUCUUGGAUGAUUUACCAUUGUGUUCUAGGGGAGUGAUUUUCAAAAAGAAUGAAUUUUGCAUUAAAUCCCGAGUAUGGUUGCUGCAGAAGAGAAGAUAUUUGCCUAUUCAGAUGAUGAGCUGGAUGCAUAAGUGAUCGCAUCAAUGGGUAAUGUGCACAUUCACUCAUGAGGAAAAAAUUUGCAUGCCCUAUAAAGACCUAAAAGUUGAACAUCUGGCCUUUUCUGUGGCACCUCAAUUUUGCAUCAAUGUCUUCUAUUCCUUGAAAGGUUUAUUCCUAAAACCGUCAGAUCAUCACAGUCUUGAUACAACAUUCACUGCACACUGUUGGUAAAUGAGCCGAGCUCAGCUGUGGUGGAAUGACUAAUUGUUUUGCAUUAGAGAUGUUACGUUCACCAGGAAGUCCUGGAGUUGUGCAUGGCUGGACAUGCAUGGCAGAAAGACUGGUGCUGUUCUUCUGCCGUGCACGAGGGACUGAGGACACACUGCUUUGUUAUAAUGGAAAAGUCAUUCAACUUCUGCAGCGUAGAACUCUUUUCUUCUAUCUAGCUCUUCGAUAUUGCAAAAAUACAUUGUUAUUACCAGUGUGAACCAGGAGAAAAGCCUUUGGCCCUGCCUGUGGCUGGGGGGUUGGAACUUGAUGAUCCCCGGGGCCCCUUCCAACCCAAGCCAUUCUAUGAUUGUGUGUUUCUAUGAAAAGAAGCAUGCUAAAAGUGAUAGAAAGCAAGAUAUCUUUCCUCUCAGCUUUGCCCUGCUGCCUGUACACCCAACUGAAGUCCCAUCCCUCUGGUUCCUGCUAGGAUUCUGGGAAAGCCCAAGCCUGUACUACCUGUCCGUAACACUGAAUAUUGUGAUAUUAUUUUUUCUGUGCUAUUGCCUUGCAAGCACGGAGUGAAAAUUGCACCUAACCAGAAAGACUGGUGGACCAGGCACUUCUCUUGUGUCUGCUGCUACCUGGCUGCUGAUGCAGAUCGUUGGUUUGCUGUGGGCGUUCACUCCUCUUCCACAUCUCAUUGCCUUUAUUUUUGUAAUUUCGCCCUUGCCCCAACCACUCCAAAUCCAGUUUGGGUUUGGACUGCGCAGCUCUGAUUAUGAGUCACAGCAAUAUUCUCACACAUCCCGGUAUAUUAGUUAGGGGACCUGUGAAACAGCAGUAGGACAGAAAGUUAUUAGUUGAAAUUCCCAAAUGAAGGCGCAAGUGCUGAGGAACUCGCUCUGCUUUUAUUUGCCCCAGCUGAGGCAGAAAUCUCAUGCAGCAUGAAUAAAUUGUUACCUGCUAGCUAAGAGAAGGGAGUUAUCCGCUGGGUUACAGCCAUCAGACUUACACUCCGGGUGCAGCCUAAGGGGCUCUCUGCUUUCAGACUAGCGGCCCAGUUUUGCAAGACUGCAACUUAGGAAAUUAAAUCUUAUCAAUCUUGAAGCACUUUUUCUCUGGAAGUCAGGGCCCGAGCGCACGGAGAUCCCUCGGAUGGGUUUUGGUCGCAGGACGAGUGGUGGGCUUAAAAUUAAAGUUACAAAGAAGCCAGUGCUUCUGAUGGCUUCUGGCCCUGCCAGCUGCUGGCAGAUGCUAAAUAAGGAGGGCCCAGGUGCUGCUAGAAGCAAGUGAUGGGGAAGAUAACAAGGGGGGUUACCAGCCAUUCCCUCCCAUGCAGAAAAGGCACUCUACAUGCUUGUACUUCUGACCCCAAGAUCAAGUUCCAGAUAACCACAUAUGUAAAGCCCUGUUAUCUUUCAGAGAAGACACAAGAAGCCUAAAACUGAACUCUUUUUUUUUUUUUUUUUUCUUCCCAUGAGGAAAUCCUGUAGCAGCACUGCUCCGGCACCGUCACUGCAGCUCUGCUACACCUCUGCUGCAAUGGGUGCUGCAGGAGUGCACGGCAGCGCUCAGAAAUGAGAGGGCUGAACCUCGGGAGCUGUCACCUCCACCAAUCUAACAACAGUUUCCCCAGCUGAGGGCUGGUGGGGAGUGUUUGCUCAUCUGCCUUAGCCCUGGAAAACGAGGAGGUUAAAAAUUAAUCUUUGCAGCUGGCAACUGCUGCAGUGAGCUGACACGGCGGGGCAGAGUUUUUUCCAAUAUCGGGAAUGUUAUGCAGCUUUGGAGUGGCCAAACAGCAGGGCUCACGUGUGGUAGCUUGACCCAGACUGAAGGCACUGCGUGACCUGUGUAGAGCUAAGUGUGCCUUUUUGCACUGACCUGCAGUGCACCUUUUGCACUGACCUGUUUAAUUUUGGUGAUACGAAGAUGUUGGCAUCCUGAUUCCUCACUGUGACAGCGCGCUUCCAUCUGGAAAAGGGAAAACUGUGCUAUGAUGUGUAGAUUUCCUUUGAAUCUGCAGGAUUAGAGGUACUAAUAGCAGGCUAUUUGAGUGGUGUGGGUAACUAUAAAACCUGAUGGUGUACCACCCCUCUUAUUAGUGUUCCUUGUGCUUUCCUUUGGCUCAUCAGCUGCAAAAGGACACGGCCACGUGCUGCUGGAAUCGGCUUGAAGCUGAACCUUGAAUUUCAGGUAGAUUAAAAAAAGACAAUCGCUGCUGGAGGAGACUGCAGGAGAUGGAAUCUAAACCUGCUGGAGCCAAACUGACACCAAAAACAGCCAGCCUGCCACCGCUGUAAGUAGUGUAACAGUUACCUGAACAGCUAUAAAAGUGCAAAUCCAUAGAGGGGGCAGGAAAGAACAAAGAGAGAACUGCCCUCCCCGUCUCCCGCUCCGCAGGGAAUAACACGAGCUGCACUACAGCAGCAAAUGCUCCAAGGGGAGAGGAAAGAGCUGCGGCUGAAAUCUCUGUGCAAACCACAGGGAAACAAUUCCGUGUCUCCGGUUCUCUCUGCCUCAUUCCGAUGCUGUGUGAAUAAAUAAGCUCCACGACUGCUGAAGACCUCGUGCAAAUGUGCUCGCACUCUGCUCUCCUGGGGCACAGGCAGUGGCUUUUUUGCACUGUGUGAGCAAAGCCAUUUGUGAGAGCCGAAAAAAAACAAAGCAGAUAUCGUCGCCCAUCACCUCGUGUCCAUUAGAUUAAGUCAACAUCAUUAGAUAAAUUCCUUCUGCAAGAUGCUUCUGCAGAGGGAUUCAAGUGCAUACCUGUCCUGCUUGAAGUACUAAUGCUGCUCCGGCAUUAGUAGAAGUAAGUGCCUUUUGAAGGCAGUUCAGAGCCCCUGUGCAGCUGCCUGCUUUAUAGCUCGUAGCUGCAUGUCACCUUUGAAGGCUGGGGAUGGCAGUGGCAGAGCAGUGCCUCCCAGCCGGGGGAAGCAGGCAGUCGGCACAAUCCGUCCCUCGCAAUUAAGGGAGGAAAGCAGAAGCUGGGGAAAAUUCAAGCAGUGUGUUUUAGUAGAGGACCGCUCCCUUACCUCGGUGAAUUACCAGUGCCGCUCACAGGGACGUGCGGGGCCGAUGCAAAGCACAGACAGUAAUAAAGCACACGGGAAACUUGCAUGAAUUAACCUGCAGAAGAGUGAGUUUAUUGCUCUUCGUCAUUUACACGCAUCCUCCUAAAGAAAACAUGAUGAAAACCUGUGUGUAAAUUACCAAGCCAAACGCCGUUCUUCUGUGCUGGGCUCAGAGGGCAAACCUCCCAGUGCAGAAAUACCAUCUUGUGAUAAAAUGACUAAUACAUGACUAAAGCCAUUUUCCAUUGUGCAGGCGGAGCUCUGGGGAUCAAUUGUUUUCCACGGUGGAUCCCUCAGACAGUGAAUUCCUCUGGUGGUUGGUAUGAUAUUCAUGGCCAGGGCUGUUAGUCACCUCCAGGGAACUGAAAUGGGAUGCCACUCCGGUUGCUGUUAUUAAUCUCGACUGCAGGUGUGGAAAUUAAUUUCAUGGGUAUUUUUAUCAUUUCCUUUUUUGUUAAGGAUUAGCAUUUCCCCAUGACCCGGACUCCGGAUGGAGGCCAAUGCAAAGUGGUUUGCCCAGCCCCGCCACAAUGGUGAGCUAAUGCUGGGGAGCAGGAGGGGAAGGGGGCGUGAAACUUUCCAUUCCCGCUUGGUGUGGACAAUGAAUGCCACUGGAUGACGUCAGAUGUCAUCACAACAUGCACUUCCCUGCACCAAGACUCCGUAAAGCAAUCCUGGGAAAUGGAGGUUGUUCUCAGUUCUGUGCGAGAAUAACACAUUUGCCAAUAGUGGGAGAAAAAAAAGGUGAAGUUAAAUGUAUGAAACCAAAUCAGAUGUAGCUGCUUAGAAAGCUACAGCUCCUAUUUGCUGGCACCCGGGCUGCUUUCACAUGUAUUUUCUGACAGAUGCUGCUACAUCUCCAUAGUCAAGAAGACAGCUCCAGCCACUGGGCUUCCAACAUGGAGACUAGAGCUGGGAGCCAGGAACAGGAAUGGGAAUGGGAAUGGGAUGGGGAAGAGCUCACCUGGUGGAGAGGGCUGGGGAUGGGAGCAGCUGGAGCCAUGGCAGGGAGAGGAACACACUGUCCCCAGCUCUGCCCAGAAUUAAGCCCUGGCUGCUGGCAGCGAUGCUGGCUCCAGAACUGUCUCAUUUUCAUUGACACCUCCUCCUGCCAAAACCUAGUGAGUAAUUCUCAGGAGAUAAGCAGGUUAGGCCAGAUUCAGCACGAUAAUUGAAGGUUGGAGGUAACGUGAGAUCCUUAUGUGCUCCCGUUGGCACAGCCCCCCUCUGCCAUAAGGCCACGCAAGCCAAGAGCCUUGUGCUGCCGAAGACCCCAUCACUUACCCCACACAUUUCUAUGCUUUACUCACACGAGAUAAGCCCAGUGCAUGGCACUCAGCCCACCACGCCAACUAACGACAAGUCUGUGCCAUCUCGGGCUUUAAGACAUUAAAUCACAGCUUUGUUUAAAAGUCACUGAAGUCGAUCACUCUUAAUAAUGGCCGUCUCACCCUUCGCAGUCACACAUCAAAACACCACCUCCGUAUCGUGCCCCCCUCGCCACUCACUGGUAGUCAGCUUUGAGGAAGAGAGAGCACAUAAAAUUCACAUAUUAUUUCAUGCUGCCACUGCUCCUUGCUGCCGAAACAACUCAGUGCAGAGCAGAAGGGAGAGAAGCAGCAAGGAUUUUCCAGAGCUAAAAUAGAUACCAACGCCUCGUGCGUAUCACAGGGCUUUGCUGGGACAGCUCAGUGGUGUGAUAUUGAUGUGACUGUUUUCUUCUCCUCCUUUAACUGUAGCUUUCUGCAGAGAUCAACCUGGGCACCAGAUUUUACCAGAUUACCUCUAUUUACUCACAUCAGCUAAUUUGAGAGCGAACACGUUAUAUAACCCAACAUCAUCAUCCCAGUUAUAAAUGACGAAUUCCACCAUAAAGCCCGAUAAAAAUCUUUAUUGCAAUUUCACUUUUUAUAUCUUUUAGACAAAUAGGUUUUUGGCAUCAGGGACGUCUGUAUUGAUUUUCACAUCCAGGCUGAACCAUUCAUGGAGACGAGUAAAGUGGGACAUGCAUCAUAGGGUGAGUGCAGCACAAACCUGGUGGCACCAACCUCCAGCCCGAGAGAGAAGUUCCUUCUGGAUCACACGGGCUUAUUUGGGAUAUUCUGAGUGUUUCAGAAACACGAUAAGCAAGCAGUGGAAAUGAUGGAUUCGGCAACACCGAUGCAAAACUGCAAAGAGAACAGAGAGGGAAAGCAAGUUACAUUAGCAGAGAGAAUUCUACAUAAAAUACAGCGGAGCGGCUGGGGAACAGGCAGCCAAGAUGUUCAGCUGCAAGUGGAGUCCAAUUUGAUGCUCAGCAUGAGUUUAAAAGGAAGAUUUUCUCAGCUUUAAAAUAAAAGAGCAGUGUCAGACGUGGAUGGGGCAGCAAGCUGCAGUCACGGGAAUGGGUUGCCCAGGCUCAGGAAAAGUGAGAGCACUGAAAGCAGCUCGUUUUGCUGCCGUACACUUAGGGAUGUGCUCAUUGCAUCCAGGCAAAACACACGUGUAUGUCAGCACCUGGUUUGUGGAGAUCCACCACGAGUCAGUGGGAAUGUUGCCUUUGGGGGAGCAGACCUCAUUCCCUGCUGGCUGAUGGCCCUCAGUUUUUGCAGCCGUGGCCCUUUGACACACACAGAUUGCUGCCAGCCAGGACCCGAUCCUGCUGCCACUGAAAUCAAUGGAAGUUUUGUUGUUGGCUUCCAUGGGAUGAAGGAUUCAAUCCGGCAGUCGAUAGGGUUCGAGUGUCCUUUGUCUAAGUGGGGUCGUGUUAAUUCUGGAGGAUGGGCCUACAUCAUAUCCAUUAUUGGGAUUUGCAGCUGAGCAUAAAAACAGGAUUAGGGGGAAGAGAGAAACAAUCCCAACAGUGAGCGGGGAGCCCCGAGCGAGCCCCGGCCAUCAGCGAGCGUGGGGCAAAGAGAGGGGAAACCCACCGAGGAGGUUCCCCCCCUUUCUGCUCCUUCUGCAGCAAACUUUGAGUCGCCGGCUCGUUAUUAACAAUUAGCAAAGCGUCGGCAGAAGCAAUUAUUGUCACACUCACACAGAUAUUAAUCGAUGGCGUUUGUUUGCCGCUGCUUCUGUUCCCUCUGCUCCGACACCGCAGCACCACCAGCAAAUCGGGAUGCGUGGUACAUAUGCUGGUGCUCCACUUAAUAAAAAAGACACCUAUAUUUUCAGAUAAACUUUGUUAGUAAUUCAUGAGGUAAGUGACUAUUUAUGCUAAUCGGGGAGAAAUAUAUUCUCGAGCGGAGCGCGUUCCAUAAAUUUGAAUGCAAAACGUUCAAUUAUGAAGUAAACACAGGUAAUGCAAAUAGUAAAUUACCUCCAAUAAAAAUAUAUAAAGAACGUGUCUUCAAAGGGAGCGCGGCUCCUAUUUGCGUCUGCGAGUUGCUUAAAGAGCAAAGGAUUCAUAAACGCCGAAUCGCUGCCGCGAUGAUUGAGCUCCCAUUGCCCGACCCGCGCUGACUGCCCGCAAUCACAGCGCUGUUCCGUACCCCCGAUAGAAGGCAGGACUGUUUCCUCAGCAAUUUUAUCCCCGCCAGAUUAUCUCGUCUGAUUCUAUUAAUUCUCUCCCAUAAAUCUGCUAACAGCGAUCUGUGAUUUACUCACCCUGUUAACUGAUCUGAGGACUGUUAAAAGGAUUUAUCUGGCGCUGCACCUAGGAGCGGGUUGUGCCUUAUCACUGUGCUCCGAAGAAGCCUUUUGGAAAGCAAUUUGCCCGCUUCCAUAGUCAAAUUCAGCGGGCACUCUUUAGUUCUGCACCAUAAAAAUCAGACACCGGGCAAACAAAGGGAGCGGUAACUGUUCUUAAUGUGUUGUUCUUGAUCCGCACCCAGGGCAGAACGCGUCGUGGUCUGAGCUCCUAACCUGGAGCAGGGCAGGAGGUGUGGGGAUGUGAGCAGGAGGUGUGGGGAUGUGGGCUGUGCGCUGCCUGGGUCCGUGCUGGGAAAGGGAGCGGGGCUGGGACGUGGCCUGGUGGCAAAACCCGAGCCUGAAUGGCUCUAAUUGAAAUGAAAGCGUGCGAUUGUUUGGGGAGAAACGCUGUUAAUAGGGGACUGUAAAUGUUUAGACAGCCGUCGUGAAUAGCCAAAUAAUAAAGGAAAAUAGCACUACAGUGAGAAUGGCGGAGGGGAGGGAGGAGAGCGUUGCUGCUCCUGAAGGUGAUCCAAAAAAUUGCUAAUAAUCCUUUCUCUCUGCUACGCCGUGCCGUUUUGGGGCGGCAGCUCUGCAAUCAUCACACCAGAACAAUGCUGUACAGUAACUCCAGUGCUGCCCUGGAGGUCAGAGCUCCGCAUGCACUCACCCACAUCAGUGCUAAGGAAGAGGCUCCCCCUUAGCUCACCCAAAUUUGUGCUCUUCGUCUCAAGUUUACUCAGAAAUCUACUGGUUUGCAAGCGGAGCACUCUGAAUCCAAACAGUUUGAUGGGGCCGGAGCUGUGUUUCCACAGACAUCCAUCAAACGUGCAAGUGGAACACUGCGAGUGUGCGUUCCAAAAAGCAAUAACCUUCACUUUUUGUGCCUCUCAUAGGUGAGCGCGUUAAGUGACAUACAGUGCCACAUUCAUCUUGCAAUGGGAAAAACAAGUCUGGGGAAUGGGGCCGUCCUGGAGGGGGGGGGGGGGGGGGGUUAUGCUGUGAGCUGGGAACUUUUGCUGGUUCCGAUGGUGUGCAGGAAUAGGAAAGCCAAGCCGAGUUUAACUCGGUUUGUCACUAAUUGCAGUCUCUAAGAUAAACCCGGCAGAUGUCCGGGUGUCUUUGGGGCUGCGCAGAACCACGCUCAUGUUGUUCGUGCCGUCGGAGCAUGCUUUAGGUCUGCAGAAUCGCCUCUGCGAUCCCAUCUAGGUGUCGUUAGCCUGCUCGCCUCGCAGCGUGCCCUCCCUGCCUUUUGGCUGCCGGGAGCAGCGCAGCCGCACGGGUUUGUGCCGAUAAUGGCACGGUCGGGAGAUGUUAUCUAUUCGUGAGCCCACUCUCCCCGUACUAUUUCCUAAGCAGAGAAUUCUUCGGCUGUUGCAAACGAUGCUUUUCACAGUUGGUGAAAAAUUACCCAGCAACUCACCCGCACCUACGAAGUCUUAUAAAUAGCAAACUGCGAGGGGAAGGGGGAAAAGGAGCAUCUGAAGUACAACGUUCAAGACGCCGGUUUAAUAUAUGACCAAGUGUCAGAAGUCAGGUUUCUGAGAAUUACUUUCCAGAUAAACAACUUCACGGCACCGCACUUCAUCUUACUUACUAGAGACACCCCAUUUAUCACGGAAUUACAAGGAACUUUAAUUCUAUCGAUAUUCCCAUAAAAUCCAGCCUGGCAGCUCGGGAGGGGCACUGCGGGAGCACCGGGACCGCCGCAGCUCAACCCCCCCUCCCACCCCCCCC